UACGUAGGGUGCGAGCGUUAAUCGGAAUUACUGGGCGUAAAGCGUGCGCAGGCGGUUUUGUAAGACAGGCGUGAAAUCCCCGGGCUCAACCUGGGAAUGGCGCUUGUGACUGCAAAGCUGGAGUGCGGCAGAGGGGGAUGGAAUUCCGCGGUGUAGCAGUGAAAUGCGUAGAUAUGCGGAGGAACACCGAUGGCGAAGGCAAUCCCCUGGGCCUGCACUGACGCUCAUGCACGAAAGCGUGGGGAGC
rnacentral:rRNA from 1 species